rnacentral:rRNA from 1 species
UACGAAGGGUGCAAACGUUGCUCGGAAUCAUUGGGCGUAAAGCGCACGUAGGCGGCUUCGCAAGUCGGAUGUGAAAUCCCUCGGCUCAACCGAGGACGUGCAUACGAAACUGCGGAGCUUGAGUGCUGAAGAGGAUCGCGGAAUUCCCGGUGUAGAGGUGAAAUGCGUAGAUAUCGGGAGGAACACCUGUGGCGAAAGCGGCUCACUGGACCAUUACUGACGCUGAGGAGCGAAAGUGUGGGGAGCGAACAGG